AAGGUCACGGCGCCGCGCCGCGUGCACGCUCUUUUCGACUCGUGGUCGUUUGUCGCGCGGCAGCAGACAGAAGUAGAUCUAUGUUAUGAAGGGUUUGGUUUCUCUUCUGAAGAUGACCGUGUGGUCAUAUAAAGACGACAGAGAUGAAAUCACGUAAAAUUCUUACUAAAAUCACAUUUUGAAAAGCAAGGAUUUGGAGGCGAUUAAAGGGAAUGAUGGUUUGUAAUUCCCCAUUGUGCUUCAUAUAAACUGAAGUAAUGAGAAACUGGAGCAUUGGAGGUCUUCACCAUGCUAAAGGAUUUGGAGGACGUAAAGGAGAAUGAUGGUCUGUAAUUCCCCAUUGUGCUUCAUAUGAACUGAAGUAAUGAGAAACUGGAGCAGUGGAGGUCUUCAUGCUGAAGGAUUUGGAGGACAUAAAGGAGAAUGAUGGUCUGUAAUUCCCCAUUGUGCUUCAUAUGAACUGAAGUAAUGAGAAACUGGAGCAUUGGAGGUCUUCAUGCUGAAGGUGUUCAUUAAACUUCAUCAGGAAGAGCAGCUGGAGAGAUCAGUGAUGGACUGACAACAUGAAACAAAAGAUGUCUUUGUCCCUUUAUACUUAAUAAGUGAUGAGUGAACAUUACUGUUGGGAGUUUUGUAUUGGGUAAUGUUAGUUUCUGUUAAAUGUUAAGUCACAUCACCUUACUGUAAAGUGUUAGAUUUUUAUAUCACAAUAAAUUCUGAAUCUUUCCCCAUU